GACGAACGCUGGCGGCGUGCUUAACACAUGCAAGUCGAACGGUGAAGCGAGUGCUUGCACUCGUGGAUCAGUGGCGAACGGGUGAGUAACACGUGAGUAACCUGCCCAUCACUCUGGGAUAAGCACUGGAAACGGUGUCUAAUACUGGAUACGACCAACCCUUGCAUGGGGUGUUGGUGGAAAGAUUUAUCGGUGAUGGAUGGACUCGCGGCCUAUCAGCUUGUUGGCGGGGUAAUGGCCCACCAAGGCGACGACGGGUAGCCGGCCUGAGAGGGUGACCGGCCACACUGGGACUGAGACACGGCCCAGACUCCUACGGGAGGCAGCAGUGGGGAAUAUUGCACAAUGGGCGAAAGCCUGAUGCAGCGACGCCGCGUGGGGGAUGACGGCCUUCGGGUUGUAAACCUCUUUCAGCAGGGAAGAAGCGAAAGUGACGGUACCUGCAGAAGAAGCACCGGCUAACUACGUG
rnacentral:rRNA from 1 species